AAUGUCAACGAAAUUUUCGGCGUUUUCGCGCGCGGCUGUCUCUUCUGUUUACUAUCUAUUCAUUUUAAUUAAUUCGUGAUUAUUAGGAUACACUACAUUGUUUUUACUUCAUAGUUUACUAAAAAAGCCAAAGGGGCUAAUAAUAUGACUGAUGACAAACCUAUAAGUUGGUGUGAAGAUGUUGAUGAAAAUGACAGCACUGAAGUUCGAAAAGCUACCAAAGAAAAAAUUAAAGAAGAUAGAGAUAAUUCCAGCAGUAGAAAAAGAGUGAAAUACAACAGCAAAAGUGAAUCAGAUGAUGGCAAAACAAACCGACCUCCAAGAAAACCUUUAGAGUUGGAAACUGACCCAGAUAUUCUUCAAAGAAGACAGAAGCAAAUUGAUUAUGGUAAAAAUACUGUUGGAUACCACAAUUACACAGAGCAAGUGCCUAUAAACCAGCGUACAAAGGAGCAUCCAAAAACACCAGAUAAAUACACAAAAUAUAGUCGAAGAUCAUGGGAUACUCUGAUCAAAAUGUGGAGGAAAAAACUGCAUGAAUACGACACAACAAAAGUGCCUGAUGGUGGAGAAUCAGACUGAGAGGAUUAGUAUUAUUAUACAUACAAUAAUAUUUACUUGUA